GACGAACGCUGGCGGCGUGCUUAACACAUGCAAGUCGAACGGAAAGGCCCUGCUUUUGUGGGGUGCUCGAGUGGCGAACGGGUGAGUAACAUGUGAGUAACCUGCCCUUGACUUUGGGAUAACUUCAGGAAACUGGGGCUAAUACCGGAUAGGAGCUCCUGCUGCAUGGUGGGGGUUGGAAAGUUUCGGCGGUUGGGGAUGGACUCGCGGCUUAUCAGCUUGUUGGUGGGGUAGUGGCUUACCAAAGCUUUGACGGGUAGCCGGCCUGGGAGGGUGACCGGGCACAAUGGGACUGAGGUACGGCCCAGACGCCUAUGGGAGGCAGCAGGGGGGAAUAUUGCACAAUGGGGGGAAGCCUGAUGCAGCAACGCCGCGUUCGGGAUGACGGCCUUCGGGUUGUAAACCGCUUUCGCCUGUGACGAAGUGUGAGUGACGGUAAUGGGUAAAGAAGCACCGGCUAACUACGUG
rnacentral:rRNA from 1 species